CCCCUGUGUUUAGAAACUAUCUAAUUUCAUCCAAUUUUUGCUAAUAGUGUUUUGAUUCCUACUGAAAUGUUAUUGGGGUAAAUAAAUUAUAACCUUUAAGACAGUGGGCGGAGAUGACCAAUGACCAAAAGUACUGUGGACAAUAGACUGGCUAUAUAACUUCUAUUUGGCCAAGUUUUAUUGCCGUCAACUAUUUGAACUAUUAUGUAUUCUUACAAUAUUUAUUUUUUUUAUUAUUAUUGGUGUUGAGUUUUCUUUAUUUAUCAGCUGUAUUCCAAAUCAACUAUAAUAUAUUCAAAUCAAAAAUUUAAAUUCAGCUAUUUGUGUAGAGGAAAAUAUCCUUUUUAAAUCGCACAACCUUGAAAUAAUUUAGUGUAAUCUCCUUUGUACUGUAACAAAGUAAAGAAGAGGCUCCAGAACCUUUUUCUUUGGUUAAAGUUUCUGCUGCUUAACUUUAAAUUUAACUUUUUAAAGAAUAUUUAAAUUAAAAUUUAUAAAUAUAGACUUUUGAAUUU
rnacentral:lncRNA from 1 species